rnacentral:rRNA from 1 species
UGGGGAAUAUUGGUCAAUGGACGCAAGUCUGAACCAGCCAUGCCGCGUGCAGGAAGACGGCUCUAUGAGUUGUAAACUGCUUUUGUACUAGGGUAAACGCUUCUACGUGUAGGAGCCUGAAAGUAUAGUACGAAUAAGGAUCGGCUAACUCCGUGCCAGCAGCCGCGGUAAUACGGAGGAUCCAAGCGUUAUCCGGAUUUAUUGGGUUUAAAGGGUGCGUAGGCGGUUUGAUAAGUUAGAGGUGAAAUACCGGGGCUCAACUCCGGAACUGCCUCUAAUACUGUUGAACUAGAGAGUAGUUGCGGUAGGCGGAAUGUAUGGUGUAGCGGUGAAAUGCUUAGAGAUCAUACAGAACACCGAUUGCGAAGGCAGCUUACCAAACUAUAUCUGACGUUGAGGCACGAAAGCGUGGGGAGCAAACAGG